GUAGGUGGCAAGCGUUGUCCGGAAUUAUGGGCGUAAAGCGCGCGCAGGUGGUUCUUUAAGUCUGAUGUGAAAGACCCCCGGGCUCAACCGGGGAGGGUCAUUGGAAACUGGGGAACUUGAGUGCAGGAGAGGAAAGUGGAAUUCCACGUGUAGCGGUGAAAUGCGUAGAUAUGUGGAGGAACACCAGUGGCGAAGGCGACUUUCUGGCCUGUAACUGACACUGAGGCGCGAAAGCGUGGGGAGCAAACAGGAUUAGAUACCCUGGUAGUCCACGCCGUAAACGAUGAGUGCUAAGUGUUGGGGGGUUCCCGCCCCUCAGUGCUGCAGCUAACGCAUUAAGCACUCCGCCUGGGGAGUACGGCCGCAAAGACUG
rnacentral:rRNA from 1 species